rnacentral:lncRNA from 1 species
AUCCCUAGACUUGUUGGAAGGCAUGGAGAUAGGGUUGGAAGCAUUGAGUUCCCAGGGAGAUUUAGGGUUUGCGGGGAGGUCAGACCAAGAAGGGAGAGUAGAGAGCAUUUGCUCCAAAAAGUCGUCAUGGGAAGAGGAAUCGAAGUGGGUAUUGGGAAGCUGAAUCUGAGAAGGGUUAGGGAUCUGGGGGUGAUGCUGAUGCUGCUGCUGCUGCUGAUGUUGAUGAUGAUGAUGAUGAUGAUGACCAUUUUGGAGGUCUUGAAGAGAGAUUUGAGACGGGUUUAGGAGAGAGUUGAUGGCUUGCAUUUCUCUACUACAAGGC